rnacentral:rRNA from 1 species
AUGGUGAUGGCGACAGCGACGGCGAUCUCCGGCCGCGUAUCCGGCGAGGCCAGCGCAAUCCUCGCUCCUUCCGCUUCGUCCCUCCCCGCGCCGGUCCGACGCGCGGCCAACUCCAAGGGCUUUCAUGCUUUUCUUCGGGUUGCAUCUAGCAAGCUCAUGCUUACACCAGGACGACUAUGCAUUGAGCGCCAAAGCUGUCCGCGGAGAUCUAGUACCUGCUCUGCUCUUUCAAGGCAGGACUUCUCUCCUGUUACUCAAGACAUGGAAGGCUUCCUUCACAGUAUUGUUAAUAUGGGAUUUUUUGACCGUUUGAAAUUGGCUUGGAAGAUAAUCUUCCCAGCACCAACCAUACAUGAGAACACAAAUGCAAGUAUUGCAAAGCAGAGGCUGAAGAUGAUUCUAUUCUCCGACAGGUGCGAGGUCAGUGACGAAGCAAAGAAAAAGAUAGUGGAAAACGUUGUUGAGGCACUAUCUGAAUUUGUCGAGAUUGAAUCACGUGAUAAUGUACAAGUGGAUAUCUCGACUGAUGCUGGCCUUGGCACAGUGUAUUCUGUGACUGUUCCAGUGCGCCGUGUGAAGCCUGAGUACCAGGAAUCUGAAGAGCAGUACAGAGGAAAAAUCGUUGGUGUUGACUUCAAGGACACUGGAGAAUCGUCUGGUAAUGUUGAUGUUACCUUUGAUUUCUAUGUUCCGAAUGAGAACCACUGA